rnacentral:rRNA from 1 species
GAUGAACGCUGGCGGCGUGCCUAAUACAUGCAAGUCGAGCGAACGGACGAGAAGCUUGCUUUUCUGAUGUUAGCGGCGGACGGGUGAGUAACACGUGGAUAACCUACCUAUAAGACUGGGAUAACUUCGGGAAACCGGAGCUAAUACCGGAUAAUAUUUUGAACCGCAUGGUUCAAAAGUGAAAGACGGUCUUGCUGUCACUUAUAGAUGGAUCCGCGCUGCAUUAGCUAGUUGGUAAGGUAACGGCUUACCAAGGCAACGAUGCAUAGCCGACCUGAGAGGGGGAGCGGCCACACUGGAACUGAGACACGGUCCAGACUCCUACGGGAGGCAGCAGUAGGGAAUCUUCCGCAAUGGGCGAAAGCCUGACGGAGCAACGCCGCGUGAGUGAUGAAGGUCUUCGGAUCGUAAAACUCUGUUAUUAGGGAAGAACAUAUGUGUAAGUAACUGUGCACAUCUUGACGGUACCUAAUCAGAAAGCCACGGCUAACUACGUG